AGAUUUGAAUGGGUUAACAGAAGACAAAUCAGAUUUAAAUGAACAGUGUAACAAAGUAACAGAGAGCACAUUGUCAGAAAAAGUCUGUGAAUUAGAGGAUAGAGUUGAACAAAGAAAUGAUUUUAUUUGCCAGUUUACAAAUGAAGCUAAACUAGUGUGUGUUAAUACCAGAAAAAUACAGGCACAGAAUCUAAUCCCAGAACUAACAGAUACUGAAAAUGUAUCCUCACAGAGUGAUUUGCAGAAAUAUAAAUUCCAAGACAGAGCUGCAAAACUUAAUUUGAAAAUCCAUGAACAAUUAAUGAAAAUUGUGAAAUGUAUUCCAGUUUAUGACACGUCAGUGGAUACAUUUACUAAUGCUGAAAUGUUUGAGUCUAAUGUGGACAAAUACAGCCUAAAUGACGAACAAAGGAAUAGACUAUUUCAAAUAUGGCUGCCGACUCAAAUGGCAUGUAGGCUGACCACGCCUGUAAAAUUCGAG